CUUGAACCUAAAUAUCAGCAGUUUGCUUGGGGUAUUUGGUAUUUGAUUAUGUUCCCAAAUGAUUUUUAGAGCAAAGACACAUUUUUUAUUACUUUAAGGCGGUAUCUUUUAAGUGUCUUAUAAAUAAAAAUUGUAAAUAUUUACCUGUUAUAUCUUUGCAAUUUAUUGCUUUUUAAGGUAGAGAAUCCAGGGAGUUGAAAGUCCAGCCCCAUGCUUUCCCUGAACGAUUUUAGCACAUUUUUAAUCAUUGGACACCACCUUCUCCAGAUGGUAAAGAUCAUGUACACAGACUUUCAGAACUCUAAGCGGAGAUGAUUGCAUCAUUUGAACCUGAGGUGCCUUAGAUGCUCUACUCAUCUUGAUGGGGUUUGGAGUUUCCCACUGCUUACUCAGAGCUUUUUAAUUGCUUUAGUUAUUUACUGUUUCUUUUUGCAAAAUCCUUCCUGCCACUUAAACUAAAAACCAAAGAUUUGUUUUUUAUUCAUAAGCAAAUUGUAGAAAAAUUGCCUUAUUUUCAGAAACGUUUUUUCUUUGAA
rnacentral:lncRNA from 1 species